GUGAAUCAUCGAAUCUUUGAACGCAAAUUGCACUCUCUGGUAUUCCGGAGAGUAUGCCGGUUUGAGGGUCAGUAUAAAUAAAAAUCGGGGUGUUGCUUAUGGUGCCGCCAUCGGAAUUGGGAUAUCUUUAAUCUUAAUAAAGGUUUAAAGUGACCUAAAAUUUAUUAUACCUUGUGAAUCUCAAGACGUACAGAAGAAUUCUUUUUUUAUCCGUCAGGAUUUUGCCAGUGCU
rnacentral:misc_RNA from 1 species